UCAGCCUCUCUCUCAAAGACCGGUCCGCGAGUAGAUUUAGUAAACAUUGUAAAUGAAGCGUUUGUCAAACUGUGUGCGACACUGAGCGACUCCGAGGCCUCGCAGUCAGCAGGAUGGAUGUGUUGUCUGAAAUAUCAAAUCAGCUCGUGUGUAAAUUCAAACGUUAUGAUUUGGAUCGGCUGCUCUGCUGCUGUCAGAACGUAAUCGAACGUCGAGUCCCGUUGAGACGGCAGCAGAGAGACGAUGACGGCUUCUUUGCAGGCGACACGCGGCGACUUCCUGAUGUGAUACGAACUUGUUAGGCUUCCUGCUCGAUUUCAUGUUUUGUAGACAAUCAAGAAAGAGCGUCACAGCAAAUGAACUCAGGGGAGACGUUUCACAAAGUGCUUCCAAUGUGGAGUGACGAUCAUAAAGAUAUUGGACUUUGGGGUUUUUAAGGGAGCUAAACUGGCAAACAGCUUCCUGUGAAAUACGCCUCUAAACAA